AAAAACCGAAGAAGGGAGAAACAGGAAUUAUAGUCAGCAGUUGACAGAGGAAGAAAUAUCAGAAAGGCGAGUUACAUGGGAAUGUGGACGACGAUCAUCUGCAAAUGACAUUAAACAACAGGACUUACCUGUAAGAAACCAGUCGAAUGGAUCAUACUCAUUGUUUCCUGGUGGAGAUGUGGAGAAAAAUGCCACUUCUAGCCAAUCCCUGCCAAGCACUUCUGCAUCAAACAAGCCUCUAAUAACUGCAUCAACAUGUGGGGCAAUUGCAGAAACAGGGGAACCAAUGCAUCAGGAUUCAGAUGAUGACUCUCAAGAAUUCAGGAGGAACUCUUUGUACAGUCAGUCAGGAGAUGACGAGGGGUUCCUCAUAGAAUCAGAGAGGUUCUCCAGGGAACUGAAGUCUCCUCUCAUUCGGAGGAGACGUGCAAAUAAUUUGCAACCAUCUGUUCCCUCUCAUAGUUCCAGGACAGAUGUGAACGGAUUGGAACUUCCCUCCAAUGGAAACCAGAGAAGAGCAUCCAACCCUUGCGUUAAACCCCAGGAUUCCCACCGAGUGCUAAAGCUGGGAUUUCUAAAAAACAACCAUGGAACGUUAUGGAAUGUUGAAAUGGAGCCAGAGCAGACACGUGAUGGGAAUGUUCUGAUGACACCACUCAAAAUAGAGACACAGAGGAGCGCCUCCAUCCCGGAGAUCAGCUCCUCUCAGAGUCCCCUCCUGCCUUCUCACAGAUGCAGCCCCUCGCCCCCUCUAGGCCUGGACCCCCAGCUUCACCCUUCUCCGCUCCAGAGCCUGCUGCAGAGGGUGAAGGAGCGGGAAAAAGAACGCGGACUGAGAAAAAGAGAGGGAAAGAUCGUAGAGAGGACUUUUUCUCACCAAGAUUCUCCUAUCUCCGCCUCUCCAUCACCAUCGGUCAGGGAAGAAGAGAGAGAGGCAGAAAGAGAGGAUUCUGCAGUACCCAGUAUGAUAUCUGCUCAUGGAUGGAGAGAGGGGAAUGUGGAUGGAAGUGAGGAUGAGAUGAAAGAGAGCAAUCAUGUCCUAGAGGGCAUCAGUGUGGACUGGCCAGGCUGGUGUUUUGAUGAUGAGGAGGUUUAUGACUUUGAGGACUUUGAGGAUGAAGACUGGCUUGACAAGAAGCUGACCACAAAUGAGCCCCGGAGGUCAGAGGCGAAACCAUCAGAGAGGCAAGAUGAAAUAGAAUGUAGUGAGGUGUAGUCUAUUAAAUAUGUAGAGUUGUGUGAAAAGUGUUUGGAGAGAUGUAAUAUAUAAAGUUCUGUGGCGU
rnacentral:lncRNA from 1 species